CGAUCAUCCGUUUGCCCUCGUAGUUGUCCGAAGCUUUAAGGCAUUGCUUCACCCGUUCUCCUAGUCGCUCUCUUUCCUUCUGCGAGGUUUCAUCCACCUCCUCCUUUUCGGAUGGGCAACCUUCUUAACCGAGGGAACUAAAGCCCCGUUUGGGAGGCAGCUCAGCUCGCAGCCACGUUUGUACGUAGCGGCAGAGGCGGAGAGAGCGCAGCGAUGCGGCUUCUCGAAAGGCGUGAAAGAAAAACGGAGAGCAGAUGUCUUCCAGGCAGCGGGGGGUCCGUCUCAUCCCUCCCCAUCCAGAUGACUUACUACCCCCUCACCGGGUCUGUGUCCGCUACAAAGAAAGACAAGGACAGAAGAGCUGUUUGGAGGAAAACAGGAAGGCAGGAUUAGAGCGACGCGCUGCGCUGAGAUCCGGAGAGGCCCGCGUCUCACUCAUUAUCCUCCGGAUGGGCUUCGUGGUGGAAUGUGGCGGAGCUGAAAUAUCCACCGGAAGACAGGAUGUGCUCACUUUCUGUGUUUUUGUUGGC
ensembl:lncRNA